AUGCAGAAAGGCAAGAGGGCUGAUAGGCUCAGCGCAUUGCCUGAUGACAUUCUGGUCAACAUUCUUGACCGGCUCAAUGUCCGCGAGGCUGCAAGAACCAGCGUCCUCUCCAGACGGUGGACUCAGCUCUGCGCCAAGCUGUCUCGACUUAUAAUAAGUGCUCAGCACUUCCUGCCCAAGGGCGUGUUAUGCACCGGCAUCUCUGAUGAUGAAUUGGUUCGCAUCAAUGCCGCUGUGGUCCAAGCAAUGGAGAGCAUAUUGACCCGCAGAAAUCCUGGAGAGCACACCAUCCGCCUUCUGUCCACGACGUUCUACUUGAGAGAUGAUGUCCCCAUAUCCAUGGGGCGUGCUGUUGGUCGUGCCAUGGCGGCACACCUUGUCGAGAAUGCGAAAUUCAGUGUUAUGACAGGGAAGUAUGACAUCAUUGACUUGGACGAGGAUGAUCUGGUCACAGCCGGGAGAAAAUUCAUGUUGUUCUUUGAUGCCUGCCCAAGUGCAUUUGGUGGUCUCACUACCCUCGAUCUAGAGAAUUUGAGAUUUGGUGAAUCGGACAUAUCCAACGUCCUCAUCACUUGCAAGCGGUUGAAGCAUUUGCGUUUGUACCAUUGUGACUCUGGUGAUUGCAGCACGCUGCAACUUGAACAUGCUCAUCUCAGUGAGCUUAGUGUUGUCCACUGUAGGCUCGCACAAGUUCAGCUGAACUGGCUUCCUCAACUCACAAAGAUGGUCUUUGAAGGUUGGCUGCAGUUCCAAGAUCCACUGUUUAUUGGUCAUGUCCCGUUGCUGGAGGCUGUAAGCCUCACAAAUCUCGCCCUUAGUUACAGCAGGAUGGUUGAGUUAAGUGAGUUUCUUAGUGGUACCUCUAUACGAGAUCUGAAGUUGGAAUUUAAUUCCGAAAAGGUAAGUCAAGAUUGUCGCUUUGCGAGCUGUGGCUUCGCUUCUUCUCUGCCCAUCUCACCAUAUGCUUAUUCAUUGCAGAUUUGGGUGCAGCCAGAAUGUCCGACGCAAUCCCUGGCAUUUGUCUUCUGCCAGCUAAGGUUUGUGAAUCUAGCUAGUCUUCCUGAAGGGUAUGAUCUCACCUGGACAAUGUUUAUUCUUGAAGCUGCGCCCUUACUGAAGGAGCUAUACAUGACGGUAUGGGAUCAUGCGUGUUUAACAGAAACGGAUGAGGAGAAGAGGAAAGAACUAUCAUAUAGUGAGAACAAGGGUGUAGAGUGGGACUCUCUUGCAGCUGGUUUCCAACACCACAGCUUGGCCACACUCGUCAUCGUUGGCUUUGAAUCUGAAGACUGCUUUGUGAGUUAUGUCAGACGCGUUAUGGUGGCGGCGGUGAACCUAGCAGACGUGUUCCUGUAUAGUAGGUCAGAGUGCGGCAACUGCGAGGAGAAGCCUAACAGGUACCCCUGGACUAAAAGGCAGAGGGUCUCGCUGAAGAGGAGGCUUGCGGCUGGGAUUGAGUCGUUUGCCAUAUUUCACUUUGGUGCCAAGAGGCCUGGCCAUGUAGCAAAAAUGGAGCACCCACAGUGCUCGCUGCUUGAGGCAAAAAGGUUUUUUACGUGA
rnacentral:rRNA from 1 species